rnacentral:rRNA from 1 species
CGUAUCCCGUAGUGGGGGACAACGCCGGGAAACCGGCGCUAAUACCGCAUAUGCUCUACGGAGGAAAGUGGGGGACCCGCAAGGGCCUCACGCUAUGGGAGCGGCCGAUGUCCGAUUAGCUAGUUGGUGGGGUAACGGCUUACCAAGGCGACGAUCGGUAGCUGGUCUGAGAGGAUGAUCAGCCACACUGGGACUGAGACACGGCCCAGACUCCUACGGGAGGCAGCAGUGGGGAAUUUUGGACAAUGGGGGCAACCCUGAUCCAGCCAUGCCGCGUGCGGGAAGAAGGCCUUCGGGUUGUAAACCGCUUUUGGUCGGGAC